GCAUGCCUAAGUACAGCUCCCCUCGCGGGGGCGAAACCACAGACGGCUCAUUAAAUCAGAUGUGACUGGCUGGCCGACGCGCCUCUCCUGUCCCGUGCUUCCGUCCUCGCGGCGGUCGUCACGGCAAGGGGGAAACGGCGACCGGCGGGGCUCUCGGGUCCCCCGGCGCCGGCGUCUUUACUUGGAUAUCUGUGGCAAUUCCAGAGCUAAUACAUGCCUUUAGAGUCUUCGCGCCGCGGCAGCGGGCGGCCGCCUUAACCGGCGUGUCCGCGUCCGGCCGGGUGCGGAGCGCUUUUAUUAGAGCCUAAAACCUUCGGAGCAGGGUCCGCCCCACUCCCUCUUUGGUGUUUGGCGAAUCGGAAUAAAGCCCUUGUCCUACGCCGAGCGCCGCCCGCGCGCGGCCUUCACCGGUCCGCGCGGCGACGCCGCGGCCCAGCAGGCUUCUGCCCUAUCAUGCUGUGGAUUGUAAGUUAAGCGCUUACAAUGGCUGUUACGGGUAACGGGGAAUCAGGGUUCGAUUCCGGAGAGGGAGCCUGAGAAACGGCUACCACAUCUAAGGAAGGCAGCAGGCGCGCAAAUUACCCACUCCCGGCUCGGGGAGGUAGUGACGAAAAAUACCGUUGCGAGCCCCUCUCGGGGUUUCGCCAUCGGAAUGGGCCCAAUCCUUAAAACCGUGGGCGAGGACCCAGUGGAGGGCAAGUCUGGUGCCAGCAGCCGCGGUAAUUCCAGCUCCACUGGCGUAUACUAAAGCUGUUGCGGUUAAAAAGCUCAUAGUUGGACUUCUGCCCGCGACCGGUGGCGUCUCCGGUAGCCGCGCUCCAAACCUCGGCCCCCCUCGUUCCCGCCGACGACCGUUCACGCGGCGCCGCGCGGUUGGAGGGCGGGUACUCUGGCCCGAGCGUCGGAGGCACCAAACCAAUGCCGGAUCCGCGCGGCUGUCAGAGAGCCGGCCUCCGCCAGCGAGUUUGAGCAAGGGGUCAGCUGGCGGGCGCUCUAGCGGGUCCGUCCCCCUCACGGGGGCCACGCCGCGAAAGCAGGCCGGAACUUUUACUGUGAAUAACUCAGGGUGCUCAAAGCAGGCCUCGCGGAUGGGCAUAGCGUCCCCCGCGCCAAAUGGCCUGAAUGCCCGCUCAUGGAAUGAUGGAAGACGACCUACGGUCCAGUCUUUUGUCGGUUUUUGUGGUACCGAGGUAAUGAUUAAUAGGGACUGACGGGGGCAGUCGUACUGCGACGCGAGAGGUGAAAUUCUGAGACCGUCGCAUGACGCCCAAAAGCGAAGGCAGCUGCCAAGGAAGUCUUCGUUAAUCAAGAACGAAAGUUAGAGGCUCGAAGGCGAUCAGAUACCGCCCUAGUUCUAACCCUAAACGAUGCAGACCAGCAAUCAGGCGGCGCCGUUGGCGGCCCGCCUGGCGGCUUUUAUCCCCGGGAAACCAGAGUGUGUGUGUUCCGGGGGGAGGUAUGGUUGCAAAGCUGAAACUUAAAGGAAUUGACGGAAGGGCACCACCAGGAGUGGAGCCUGCGGCUCAAUUUGACUCAACACGGGGAAACUCACCAGGCCCGGACACCGGAAGGAUUGACAGAACGAAGGCUCUUUCUUGAUUCGGUGGGUGGUGGUGCAUGGCCGUUCUUAGUUGGUGGAGUGAUCUGUCUGGUUAAUUCCGGUAACGAACGAGACUCCAGCCUACUAACUAGGCGACGGGCCUCGCCGUCCCCUCCCCCUCGCUCGCGUUGGGGGGGUGGCGGUAGUGAGCCGCGGUCGUCGGUGCCCCCUCGCGGCCAGCCACUCGUUGGUUGGUUCGCGGGCCGGCUGCCUUCCGCCCCAAGGGGUGUGGGGGUUGUUCGGGUCGGAGGAACGGCCGUCCUUCGGGGCGUGCUCUCCGUGGGGCGUUGAAAAGCCGAGAUCGGCGUCCGUCAAUCAAAGCAUUUCUUCUUAGAGGGAUAAGCGGCAGCUUGAAGCAGUUAGCCGCGCGAGAACUCGAGCCAUAACAGGUCUGUGAUGCCCUUAGAUGUCCUGGGCCGCACGCGCGCUACAAUGGAGGGCUCAGCGAGCAGCGCCCCCCUCCGAAAGGAGCGGGGAACCUCCGCAAAGCCGAUCAGCGCGCCUCGCGGCGCCGUGCUUCCCUAAAGGGGAUCGGGGCUUGCAAAUGUUUCCCGUGAACGAGGAAUUCCCAGUAGGCGCAAUUCAUCAGAUUGCACCGACUGAGUCCCUGCCCUUUGUACACACCGCCCGUCGCUACUACCGAUUGGGUGACCUGGCGAGGACCCCGGACUGGACUAUCGGCCCUCUGUGGUCGAGACGUCCGGAAAGGCGCCCGAGC
rnacentral:rRNA from 1 species